UACGUAGGGGGCAAGCGUUGCCCGGAAUUAUUGGGCGUAAAGAGCGCGUAGGCGGUCCGAUAAGUCGGCUGUGAAAGUCAGGGGCUCAACCCUUGGAAGCCGGCCGAUACUGUCGGACUAGAGUCCGGAAGAGGCGAGUGGAAUUCCCGGUGUAGCGGUGAAAUGCGCAGAUAUCGGGAGGAACACCAAUGGCGAAGGCAGCUCGCUGGGACGGUACUGACGCUGAGGCGCGAAAGCGUGGGGAGCAAACAGG
rnacentral:rRNA from 1 species